CCUACGGGUGGCAGCAGUGGGGAAUAUUGCGCAAUGGGCGAAAGCCUGACGCAGCGACGCCGCGUGAGGGAUGAAGGCCUUCGGAUCGUAAACCUCUGUCAGUAGGGAAGAACGGUCACUGUGCUAAUCAGCAGUGAAUUGACGGUAACUGCAAAGGAAGCACCGGCUAACUCCGUGCCAGCAGCCGCGGUAAUACGGAGGGUGCGAGCGUUAAUCGGAAUUACUGGGCGUAAAGCGCUCGUAGGCGGUAUGUCAAGUCAAGUGUGAAAUCCCCGCGCUCAACGUGGGAACUGCCUUGGAAACUGGCAAACUGGAGUGUGUGAGAGGGUAGUGGAAUUCCAGGUGUAGCGGUGAAAUCCGUAGAUAUCUGGAGGAACAUCAGUGGCGAAGGCAGCUAUCUGGC
rnacentral:rRNA from 1 species